rnacentral:lncRNA from 1 species
GCCCUGAGGAGAGAUGUCUUCCUUCAGUGCAGCAGACCCCAGGGAGGUGUGGAUGGAGCUCCUGAGUGUCAGAGUUAUCUCACCAACUUGGAGGAAACUGAAUACCUACAGGACACAGGCAUAAAGCAGAGACAAAUCCGAGUGGUUAAUCUCUCUUCCCCCCCUUUCCCAGCCUCGGGGGCUGGGGGGCGACGGAGGAGGGAGCAAGCACCAGCCCAGAGCCGGGCCAGGCCUCCCCGGGGAGGGGCUGAGGCAGCGGCUGGGCUGCGGGAGCUGCAUGGAGGAGGGGAGUUUCACAGACUCCUCUGCCCGGCCGGGAGGAGAAGGAGGAGGAGGAAGUUUGGAGAUUAAGCCGCUGCCCGGAGCUCGAGCGCACGGAGUGAGCCGAGGCGCGGCCACGGGCGCUGCGAGGGGGA